UCUCUCUGCUCAAAUCUCCUAGCUUCAGUCUGGUCUUUCCUCAUCAACCUUCACUUCUGCUCAACUGCUCCAUCUUUGCUGUCUUGACCUCACAGCCUACUCUACCAGCUUGAAACCAUCUUAUGUUUUUCAGGUCCUUUAUCUUCCCUUUGCUACACCGUAACGAGGUUCUCUCUUAACCUCUUAUUUGUAUUUCUCUGUUUUAUUAUGUGUGACUGUAACUUCUAUACACUCCCAUCGUAUUGUCCUCACACAUGGAAGUUAUUCUCCAGUUAUUAUAUAUGUAAGCUGUAAGUAUUUGUUUAUGCUUAAUUCCGUCAAGUUUGUAAUAUAAGUCUG
rnacentral:lncRNA from 1 species